rnacentral:tRNA from 1 species
GCCUGGCUGGCUCAGUUGGAAAAGCGUGGGACUCUUGAUCUCAGGUCAUGGGUUUGGGCCCCACGUUGGGCA